AUUGAACGCUGGCGGCAGGCCUAACACAUGCAAGUCGAACGGUAACAGGGAUCAGCUUGCUGAUUCGCUGACGAGUGGCGGACGGGUGAGUAGUGUCUGGGAAACUGCCUGAUGGAGGGGGAUAACUACUGGAAACGGUAGCUAAUACCGCAUAACGUCGCAAGACCAAAGAGGGGGACCUUCGGGCCUCUUGCCAUCAGAUGUGCCCAGAUGGGAUUAGCUAGUAGGUGGGGUAACGGCUCACCUAGGCGACGAUCCCUAGCUGGUCUGAGAGGAUGACCAGCCACACUGGAACUGAGACACGGUCCAGACUCCUACGGGAGGCAGCAGUGGGGAAUAUUGCACAAUGGGCGCAAGCCUGAUGCAGCCAUGCCGCGUGUAUGAAGAAGGCCUUCGGGUUGUAAAGUACUUUCAGCGGGGAGGAAGGGAGUAAAGUUAAUACCUUUGCUCAUUGACGUUACCCGCAGAAGAAGCACCGGCUAACUCCGUG
rnacentral:rRNA from 1 species